UUUAGAACUCCAUAUAUGGGUAAACUUCUGAGUAGUGUUUGAGCUGGAUUGCAGGACAGAUUCUGAUUUUUUUUUUGUGGCCAAGCUUUGAAUUUGAAAACGGAAGAUUUGGGUCUUCCACUCUUCAUGAAAGUUGUAGGCCUAUAUCUUAACGUUCUAGA
rnacentral:pre_miRNA from 1 species